rnacentral:rRNA from 1 species
ACGGCGAGUGAAGCGGGAAGAGCUCAAGCUUGAAAUCUCUGUUGCUUGCAACAGCGAAUUGUAGUCUCGAGAAGCAUUGUCAAAGCGAACGUGUGCUCCACUCAAGUUGUUUGGAACGACACGUCGUAGAGGGUGAGAACCCCGUUCGAGGUGUUGCACGUCGCCCACGAGGUGCUUUCUAUGAGUCGGGUUGCUUGGGAAUGCAGCCCAAAAUGGGAGGUAAACUCCUUCUAAAGCUAAAUACGGGCACGAGACCGAUAGCGAACAAGUACCGUGAGGGAAAGAUGAAAAGCACUUUGAAAAGAAAGUUAAGAGUACGUGAAACCGUUAGUAGGGAAGCGCAUGGAAUUAGCAAAGUUCGUUAGAGAUUCAGGUGAGUCGAGCGGGGUUUGGGUAGAGUGCAGAUCCGAAUGGACUGUCUUUGCUCAACUCUCUGUUUGGCUUAUCGCACUUUUCUAGCGAACACGUCAACGUGUGUUCGGACCGAGUGAAACGUCUCAGGAGAAGGUGGCAGUCUUCGGACUGUGUUAUAUCUUUUGGUGACUGACUCGGGCUGGACAGAGGAGUUGCGGUACGGGCUGUACAGGCUGGCCUCUUCUUCUCAUGUUAGCGGUAAGCAUGAUAGACUGCUCGCAGUGUAUUUGAACGUCCGUUGGCUUGAGUUGGGGUAGGGCACAAACGUACAAGGUCGUUGGCGGUCAUAUGGUUUCAUACGACCCGUCUUGAAACACGGACCAAGGAGUCUGACAUGUGUGCGAGUCUUCGGGUGACUGAAACCCUGGGGCAUAAUGAAAGUGAAGGUUCUUCGGAGCCGAGGUGAGAUCUGUCUUAUCGGGCAGCGCAUCAUCGACCGACCAUUUCUACUCUUAGAAAGGUUUGAGUAAGAGCAUAUAUGUUGGGACCCGAAAGAUGGUGAACUAUGCUUGAGUAGGGCGAAGCCAGAGGAAACUCUGGUGGAGGCUCGUAGCGAUUCUGACGUGCAAAUCGAUCGUCAAACUUGAGGAUAGGGGCGAAAGACUAAUCGAACCAUCUAGUAGCUGGUUCCCUCCGAAGUUUCCCUUAGGAUAGCUGGAACUUGUGUAUACAGUUUCAUCCGGUAAAGCGAAUGAUUAGAGGUCUUGGGGUUGAAACAACCUCAACCUAUUCUCAAACUUUCAAUGGGUGAGAAGCUUGACUUGCUUAACUGAAGCCAGGCAACGAAUGAGAGUUCUUAGUGGGCCAUUUUUGGUAAGCAGAACUGGCGAUGCGGGAUGAACCGAACGCUCGGCUAAGGCGCCUAAAUCGACGCUCAUCAGACCCCACAAAAGGUGUUGGUUGAUCUAGACAGCAGGACGGUGGYCAUGGAAGUCGGAAUCCGCUAAGGAGUGUGUAACAACCCACCUGCCGAAUCAACUAGCCCUGAAAAUGGAUGGCGCUCAAGCGUCGUGCCUAUGCCGGGCCGUCAGUGUAAGUGACGAAGCACUGACGAGUAGGAGGGCGUGGGGGUCGUGACGCAGCCUUUGGCGUGAGCCUGGGUGAAACGGCCUCUAGUGAAGAUCUUGGUGGUAGUAGCAAAUAUUCAAAUGAGAACUUUGAAGGCCGAAGUGGAGAAAGGUUCCAUGUGAACAGCAGUUGGACAUGGGUUAGUCGAUCCUAAGCCGCAGGGAAACUCUGUUAGAAAGGGAGCGUUCAUUCUGCUCCCCUAAGGCGAAAGGGAAUCGGGUUAAUAUUCCCGAACCAGAACGCGGAUAUUGCUUCACACUGUCGAAGUGUGUGUUGCACGUACGGUAACGUAAACGAACCCAAGGACGUCGGCGGUGACCCCGGGGAGAGUUCUCUUUUCUUGUUAACAGUCUGUCGACCAUGGAAUCUGUUUGCCAGGAGAUAUGGUCAAACGGCUGGUAAAGCUCUACACUUCUUGUAGAGUCCGGUGCGUCGCCUACGGCCCUUGAAAACUUGGGGGAGAGAUUGAUUUUCGCGUCUGUUCGUACUCAUAACCGCAGCAGGUCUCCAAGGUGAGCAGCCUCUGGCCCAUAGAACAAUGUAGGUAAGGGAAGUCGGCAAAAUAGAUC